UAUUAAAAUUUCUAUCUAUUUCUAUUAGUAAAAAUUAGUGUGAUUAACGAAAUAACUGGAUAAUUACACAUGAUAUGCUAUGUACAUUUCAUGUUGAUAUACAAGGACCAAUUUUUAAUAGUAAAAGUGAAUGAAAUUUUUAAUA
rfam:Gossypium arboreum cultivar AKA8401 contig_2540_9, whole genome shotgun sequence.